rnacentral:misc_RNA from 1 species
UUAUUUAGUUUCGAUGCCAUUACGACAAUGAAGGUUACAUCCAGAGGACAAAGAGUUUGUAAAAAAGCGUCGAGGGGACUUGCAUCCUUACUCUCCGCGACGGAUGCACAGGUGUGUGUGGAUGUGAGAGGUUGGGGCUCGAAAGCACCCGGUUUUUCACUAAUGAUCCUUCCGCAGGUUCACCUACGGAAA